AUGUCCCUACCAAAUUAUGAAUUCAUAAGAAUUUACCCUAGGAGACCUUCCAGCUGUCACCUAACAAGAGAAAUUUUAAAAGCAGCAGCUCCUUCCCUUCAUCCUGAUGGCAGACCAGCAAAAGCAAAUACUGGGAACACUGGUAGCAGUGGGGAACAUUUCUGCUUGAACACGAGCUGGUAUGAAGGACUUGUUUUGGUAUCCACUGCAGGAUACUGGGAAAGUGGGAUUUUCAGAGGUGCUGAAUGA
rnacentral:lncRNA from 1 species